CCUACGGGAGGCAGCAGUGGGGAAUUUUGGACAAUGGACGCAAGUCUGAUCCAGCCAUGCCGCGUGCGGGAAGAAGGCCUUCGGGUUGUAAACCGCUUUUGUCAGGGAAGAAAAGGUUCUGGUUAAUACCUGGGACUCAUGACGGUACCUGAAGAAUAAGCACCGGCUAACUACGUGCCAGCAGCCGCGGUAAUACGUAGGGUGCAAGCGUUAAUCGGAAUUACUGGGCGUAAAGCGUGCGCAGGCGGUUAUGCAAGACAGAGGUGAAAUCCCCGGGCUCAACCUGGGAACUGCCUUUGUGACUGCAUAGCUAGAGUACGGUAGAGGGGGAUGGAAUUCCGCGUGUAGCAGUGAAAUGCGUAGAUAUGCGGAGGAACACCGAUGGCGAAGGCAAUCCCCUGGACCUGUACUGACGCUCAUGCACGAAAGCGUGGGGAGCAAACAGGAUUAGAUACCCUGGUAGUCCACGCCCUAAACGAUGUCAACUGGUUGUUGGGAGGGUUUCUUCUCAGUAACGUAGCUAACGCGUGAAGUUGACCGCCGUGGGAGGUACGGCCGCGAAGGUAGUAAACGUUACAAAUAGUUAAGUUAGUACGGCGUUGAGACGUUGCCGACGGACGACGACGAGGGGAGGUUAGG
rnacentral:rRNA from 1 species